UGCUCGAAUAGCUCAGUUGGUUAGAGCGCUCGGCUGUUAACCGAGAUGUCGGGAGUUCGAAUCUCCCUUCGAGCG
rnacentral:tRNA from 1 species